rnacentral:rRNA from 1 species
GACGAACGCUGGCGGCGUGCCUAACACAUGCAAGUCGAGCGGUAAGGCCCUUUCGGGGGUACACGAGCGGCGAACGGGUGAGUAACACGUGGGUGACCUGCCCUCAGCUCUGGGAUAAGCCUGGGAAACCGGGUCUAAUACCGGAUAUGACUCCAUGACGCAUGUUGUGGGGUGGAAAGCCUUGUGCGGCUGAGGAUGGGCCCGCGGCCUAUCAGCUUGUUGGUGGGGUGAUGGCCUACCAAGGCGACGACGGGUAGCCGGCCUGAGAGGGCGGACCGGCCACACUGGGACUGAGACACGGCCCAGACUCCUACGGGAGGCAGCAGUGGGGAAUCUUGCGCAGUGGGCGAAAGCCUGACGCAGCGACGCCGCGU